UAAGUCGUCGUUUUGUUGGCUCGUCCUUUAGGCGACCGGUUCGCUUAUACUAAUACGAGAAUUUCCACGUCACGAACCGAUGAUUCAAUGAGAGAAUUAUUCUUCCAGCUCUCGACGAGAAAAGUCAUUAAUCUCUUUCGCACAACGAACGGUGGAAAUCUGCAGUUUUCGACAAUCCGGAAUAUCGUCUCGAUCGAGCCAAAUUUGAAAAUGUCGUUGACGGAUAAAUACGUAUAUCGACACUUGUGCAUACACGUUUGAAAAACGAUAAAAAAUUUAGCGAGAUGGAGCUACGGUACUGUAGUUUUGGGAGCGGCCACCAGGCGGAGGCGUGUAACCGUUAGUAAGUCAGUUUUUCACGGCAGGACGAAACGAUUAGUCUCGUCAGACGUUUUUUUGUAACGUUGUGAAUCUACGAACGAGAUUCUUUCCAAUUCCAACCCUCUUCCCAAUUUUCUUCUGCUUUUUUCUAUCGUUUCUCGAUGACAUUUCAUAUAUCUCAAUGUAUAACCGCGAAUUUUUUCCCCGAAGUGUUUUUUUCAUGCCGAAAUAAAGCUGAAGACUCGACUCAGUUCUUCAAACGUC